GCUGAGGAGCCAGGCGUCCUCAGGGCCUCUCGCCUUUUUAACUCUCCCCCCCGCAACUCCCCGCCACCAGCACUAAUGCCUUUUUAAUGAAUUUUGAGAUGCCUGUUGCUGUUUGAUGGGAGUUGUCAAGUCAUGUACUGACCAGGCUUGCAGAUGGAGAAAGAGCAAGAAGGGUCGGCAAAAGCGCAGCUGGUCAAAAACACUACCUUGAGGAGAGAGAAAUAUGAUCUAGUACACGUGUGAUGUAUGCCGUAAACAUGAACUAAUGUCAGUAUGCCUUUUGGUAUCUGCAAUCCAAUCUCUGCUGACUCCAUUACCCGAGGCCAGUGAAGCUACUCUGCUGUGGGCUGCAGCGGUGCACCCAGGGGGUCAUGAUCAAAUCAAGUCUAAAAAGAAAUUAGACAAGCAAGUGACCUUUGAAAUGUGCCCAAGCCUUUCAGAAUUCCCCUUCACGGGCAGGAGGGAAGGAAGGAAAGGAAGCAAGCAAGCAAGAAAGCAGGCAGAUUGCUGUCAUGUGUAAGGUCACAGCCACCAGCCAUCACACAAAGCUAGGACAGCCAUGACUACUGAUACCAGUGGCUUAAAGAGUAGAGUGCAAGAUUGCAUCAAGCCUUCUUUGUGGCUAGAACUAGGUGCAGAUAUGGACCUGGAAGCUCUUGGAAACUUGCCAAGUGGCUGAAGCUGUAUCUGUCUUCCUGUGGCUCCUGGGGAUGUUAGUUCUGCCUGAAAUGCUAUGUUCUCUAAAUGAUGACGAAAAUGUCAGAUGUCAAGUUACAUUCUGAAAACAAUACAGCUCUAAAUUAGACAAGCAUACAAGAACUACAGGAAUAAGUAUGACAACCUUUUAGAAAAUCUGAGUAUCCACCAAUAGGUUUUACAGUGAAGAUCUCCUACACUUUUAACCGGCACAGAGAGGAACUUCAUCCUGGAGCUCUGCAAUGACACUCUUUUCUUGGCAUGGAGAAGAAGCCUGGAUCUUGGAGAAGUGUUUCUGAUCCUCCCUUUCCCUGAAGAGGAUUUGAACUCACAGGACAAAACUCCUGAAGAAGGGAAUUUUUCCUCAUUGAAGGAGUGCUUGGAAUCUCUACUCAAAAUUGUUCCACUUAAAAAUGGAAUACUUAAAUAUUUUUUGGUCUAUAAGGACAGAAUGUGUUUUAUAAGGCAAGGCUUUGAGCUUAAUAUCCUUUGAUUGGAUUGUUUCACUGUCCUCUGUAUUUCCUGCACUGGUGGAAAUGUGGGGGUCUCUUGUUUUGACUGGCAUUGCUGGAUUUAAGUACAUGUGCUUGAUUUAAAUUCCACUUCAGACACCUACAUUCUCUAUGAAACAGGAGUUUAAUGAUUUCUGACAUAGGCAACAGCUGAAUGAGCGUUUAGGAAUUUAAAUUCUGAGCCUCAGCACUGAAGACACAUAGUGGAGGUACUGAAAUUCUACAAUUCCACACAUGUCAUGGUUUUUGGGCCUGUUUAUAAACUUAUAUUUUUUUUUUCAAUUUAGCUCAAGCAUGUGAUUUAAUUAAUUAGCUUUAGAUAUUUUCAUUCUUCUACCUAACUUCAACUUUGAGACAGCUUUUGUGAACUCAUAUUCUCUCAGCAUAUAACGCCUCAUAUUUCAGAUUUCCUGUCUCAUUUCUAUUUAAAUCAGUGGCUAUAGGAAUAGGAAUGUUCCCAUGUUUUGUUUGAAUUAUAAGAAUUUUUUUCUCUGAUGUUAAAGAAGGAAAAAAUUCCUUUGAACUCUUUUGGACCAUUUGGGGCUUGCUGGCUUUCAAAGCUCUUAGAGCACUUGAUUAAAUGUUACUAGAUUUACUCUUAGAAGCAUCAUUCUCUAACAGGAAGUAUUUGUUAUCUCACCAUGGAAUAUGCUUCCUGCAGUUCAGGGUUAGGUAAUAAAUACUCCAUUAAUCUCAUCAUGCCUCUGUUUUCAUUUAGAUCCAUCUGGUUAAAAAUGAAAGGGGAGAAUAUGUUGACAUGUGUGUGGUACAGUGCCAGCAGUCAGCUCAAGUAAGAUGAUCAUAGAGCAUUUUAAAAGAAAAAAAUUCUGGAUUAUUGGCAUGGAUAAUCUGGUGAAGAUUUUAAGAUUUUUUUUUUUAAUACUGUAGAAUUGUAGCACUCUAAAUAAUUGCACUUUUUGAGUCUAGCCAUUACCAGGAAAAUAAAACAAGUUUCCUGCAGUAAUAUGUAUCAGUUUUUGUUCUGGGCUGGGAAUAUUUUAUGCUUACUCACACACCAGUUUUAAAUGAAAUUUAAUUAACCUAAUUCCUUAAAAAAUUGAGGAUUUAGCCUGUGACAUAUUCAUACUCUUGCAAAAGUAAUGGUACAACUUAUAACUCAAGUAAGGUGGAAUGUCAAAAGUUCUUCUGAAAUUUCUCAGUACCAAAUGGUUUUAAACAUUUUCUAUUUAGAAAUUGAAGUGUCUGCUUUAUACUCCUGAUUCAACAUGAGCUGAAUGGGUUUCUGAAGCUCUUACACCUUGUUCCUGGAGUGGGAAGAUCUCUGUUUCACCAGAAAAUCCUUCCCUGGCUGAGACUGAAGGCAGUGUGACCGUGUGAGAGGGCUUCGCUGAGAUCUUCCUGUGUAGCAUUUGCAAGACAUGUCACGCCCUAACUCACAUCUCUAUCAACAUUUGCACUCCUAAAAUGAGAUGACUGCCUGGGAGAACAGACUGGGGUGCUACAGAGCUGGGAGCAGUCAGCAUCCUCUGGGAGGUGCUAGUGCUUUACAUUAUUCCCAGACUGUAUGUUGUGGGACCUAUCCUCCUCAGGAGGCACUGAAUGCUGUUUAUUCACGCACAAUCUGGGGAAGCCGAGCAGUCUUGAAAAAUUGGUCUCAAAAGCAUUAUACUCGUUAUAUCCAAAGCAUUAAAAAAUUAUAAUUUUCUCUUUUUACUUCACUUCCAUUUGUGGCAUUGUUACAGUAUUUAGAAUUGCUGCUAAUAAAAAAAAUAA